GUGGGGAAUUUUGGACAAUGGGCGAAAGCCUGAUCCAGCCAUGCCGCGUGCAGGAUGAAGGCCUUCGGGUUGUAAACUGCUUUUGUACGGAACGAAAAGACUCCUUCUAAUAAAGGGGGUCCAUGACGGUACCGUAAGAAUAAGCACCGGCUAACUACGUGCCAGCAGCCGCGGUAAUACGUAGGGUGCAAGCGUUAAUCGGAAUUACUGGGCGUAAAGCGUGCGCAGGCGGUUAUAUAAGACAGAUGUGAAAUCCCCGGGCUCAACCUGGGAACUGCAUUUGUGACUGUAUAGCUAGAGUACGGUAGAGGGGGAUGGAAUUCCGCGUGUAGCAGUUAAAUGCGUAGAUAUGCGGAGGAACACCGAUGGCGAAGGCAAUCCCCUGGACCUGUACUGACGCUCAUGCACGAAAGCGUGGGGAGCAAACAGGAUUAGAAACCCUUGUAGUCC
rnacentral:rRNA from 1 species